rnacentral:snoRNA from 1 species
GCACGUGUGAUGUGACAGAGCAGGAUGAGAAAUUGUGAUGCUGUAAACGCUUUCUGAUGUG